rnacentral:rRNA from 1 species
CCUACGGGAGGCAGCAGUGAGGAAUAUUGGUCAAUGGACGAGAGUCUGAACCAGCCAAGUAGCGUGAAGGAUGACUGCCCUAUGGGUUGUAAACUUCUUUUAUAUGGGAAUAAAAUGUUCCACGUGUGGCUUUUUGUAUGUACCAUAUGAAUAAGGAUCGGCUAACUCCGUGCCAGCAGCCGCGGUAAUACGGAGGAUCCGAGCGUUAUCCGGAUUUAUUGGGUUUAAAGGGAGCGUAGGUGGAUUGUUAAGUCAGUUGUGAAAGUUUGCGGCUCAACCGUAAAAUUGCAGUUGAUACUGGCAGUCUUGAGUACAGUAGAGGUGAGCGGAAUUCGUGGUGUAGCGGUGAAAUGCUUAGAUAUCACGAAGAACCCCGAUUGCGAAGGCAGCUCACUAAACUGCAACUGACACUGAGGCUCGAAAGUGUGGGUAUCAAACAGGAUUAGAUACCCUAGUAGUC